AGCACGUACAAAUUACUAGUAAAUACAGGUCGAGAGUCUUCUUCCCCAACGGUCCGCCAUUCCGGUAACUCGCGAAGGAGAGGUCGAGGGAGAGGGAGAACAGGCGAAGGACGCGCAACGGAGUUCCUCAUGCAGGCGAUCAGGAGAUCGACUCUGAUUGAAGAGGUCGGGGAGAUUCUGGUGCCGGGAAGUACGUUGGCGGAUGGUACGAAGCGGGCGUUGGUGGAGGUGGUGCUUCCGGAGAGCAUGUGUAUGAGCGGCGUAGGGUGGAUCUGCUGGGCGUCUGGACCACCAGCAAUCAGCAGAGAAGGUCGAAUCUGCAGCGCGGUUCAAGUGGCAGCACUUAGAAGGGACCGUUUCGCCUCUGACUUCUACGAUGUCGAUGGAAAGAUGAAUCGCCCGGCUCUUGGUUGGGAGAAGAGGCAACCAACGAGAUAACAAUGCUCUUGAAGGAAAAAAAUGCUCGAUGCUUUCACACAUUGCAACAGUUAGAGGAAAUAUCCAGCUGGAUAUGUUCAAGCUUGCUGACAAGCUUGCCUCCUCCACCAAUGGUGACGACACCUGUACUCCUGUCAGAGCACCCAUUACUGGCCAUCACCUAAAUCUAUCUCCUUACGAAGGGAACACUUCGACAAGCAAGCGGCCCAGAACUAUCCAAUGCGACCAACCCCAGCCAGAAAGCGUGGCUCACCACAUUAUACGGCAGGUCACCUUAUUUGCAAAGGGAAAUUUGAAAGCCAUAAGCAAGUCGUAUAUCAAUCUCCCAAAUGGUGGGAGCACAACUGUUUUUGGCGAGAGGCGGGUUGAACACCUUGGCCGCAAGUAUGUAUUCAGACCAGGGUUCCAGACAGGUCCCUGGAGCUGAGGCGCUGUUCUGUAUCCUCCACAUGCAGAUGUCGCGCAACUCCUGGAGCGGUACUUCGCCACUGCACCUGACAGUGAAUUAUCUGGCAAUUUCCUUGUACACGAAGCUCCCAUGUUCAUCAAGAUUACUGGCUACAUGAUCAGUGGCCAGCUUGUGGGUGGCAACAUGAUUCAGCGUGAACUGGUGUCGUUGCUUUUCCGUCGCUUUGCUCAAGUUGAUUUUCACUGCGCUAAUCUACUGCUUACUCAAACAAGACUCUAGGCUUGUGGGACUCUGAUUUCAUUCACACCCUGUCUAUCCAAAGGCAGUUCACAGGUGACUCUUUGAAGUAUGACAUCACAUCAUCCCAAAAUGUUUUAUUCCGGUGCCACGCCCAGAAGGCUGGAUGGUGAUAAUAUGGGACAUGGUGACGAAAAAAUUAAGGCCGAGAUAGGGGGCAUGCGUCAUCCACAUUGCUCGCCACUUUGAGGGAGAAAAGCUGAAGCUUCAGCUUACACAGUUUAGCUCAAUUCACAUCCUUACAUGUUCACAGUCUUCGUUACAUUCAUAAAUACGACAAAUAGAAUUUCAGUUGGGGUUGAUACUUGGAUGCACAUAUCUGCACGCAUCCAUGUUCUGAAGGAUUUUAUUUUCCCUUAAAUUAGUACUCCCUCCGUAAAGAAAUAUAGGAGCAUUUAGAUUACUAAAGUAGUGAUCUAAACGCUCUUAUAUUUCUUUACAGAUGGAGUAUUUCCCAGCACUAGCAAUGCAAAUGUGGAGGAUUGGUACCAAAAAAAAAAAGAACAAUGUUGUUUUUUUGUAAAAAUGUGGGUACUUCACUUUAUCCAUGUGAAGCAGAUCCCCGAGAGGCCGAGACACAUAUAGUAGGGUUGCACUAGCGAAAUCUAAAUAGUACCUACAACCUCGGAAGCCUGCUAGGUGCGAGAAUUGUGGGGUUGAGGACCACAGGGGAAACAACUGCACAAAACCAAUGGAUGUGGGAUUAGGGGGUGUCUGAUGAUGCUGGUGUGAAGUGCAUGGCUGCAGCAUCACUGCAUCAGCAUCAGUUAUGACUGGUGAAAACCAAGGAGAGCAAGAGUGUAAUCUAAGAUAUGUUGAUGUGUUCUGGAGAAUAUUUUCUAUAUCUUGUACUGUGUGGCGCCAUCCGGCUGUCCGGCAGACUAUAUAUGUAUCUAUGCAAUGCAUUUCCGGGAUCAGGUGUUUGGAUGAAGAAUUAUUGUUAU